UAAUUAAACGAAAGGUAUACGAGUAGUGUGCGAAUCGAUAAUGCGGUUUGCCAAAAUGUAGCUGAUUGUUGGAUAAAUAACAAAAAAAAUGGUUUUUCAAUCUCCAUAAUAAAUAUUUCAAACGAACACAAUCGUUUCAAAAAAUUACUCGGAGAUUUUUUUAAUCUGAAUGAAUUCCUUCUUACUGAUUAGAAAUUAAGCCAUCAUAAUAUGUUCAGAAAAACAAUGGUUAUUCUAAAAGAAAUUUUUAUAGUGAAGGUAGAGUGUUUAGAAUUCGAUAUUUUUAAUGGUUUACAAUGGAUUCUGGUGAGUUUAUUUUAGAAAUCUUUCGUUUAUAUUAUAUUCUGUUAUUGUAAAUGAAACUUUUAUCAGAGUUGACUUUAGUUUCCGUGUAAAAUUCAAUAAUGUGAUUCAUAUAUUUCAUUUGUUCAACUAAUUUUGGUAUAUACCGUAUUAUGAAUAAACUCUGAAUUCGUGCACAGUUUGUUUACUAGAAACAACUGAAUUUUAUUGUAACAUGUAACUCACCCUAGACACAUGAUCUGCUGUCCAAAAUGUCCAUAUCAAAUCAAAUUAAUUGUCAAUAAAUCAAUAAUAAAAGUAUUCUUAUUACGAUCAAGUAAUGCUAUUUCUCAAUAAAAGUCUUGUACAUUUUUUUCAAAAAUAUACAUUUCAGAGUUUGCAAAAAUACCCAAAAUUAUUUUUACUAUACCGAUAGAUUGAUUCGUUCUAUCGAUGUCGGUAUUUAGUUAAAAGAAUUUAAUAUUUUAUGAUGGACUUCCUUUUUAUUAUUUUGAGGGAUUGCAGCUUUAUUAUACUUUUAUUGUUGCUGAAAUGUAAAAUUAUAUAUUUUCUAGAAACAUCAUGUUCGAUGGAACCUUUUUGAUCCUUUCAUGUUUAGUAUUUUAAAAAAUUUUAUAUCCUCUCAAUCAUUAUUUAAGAACGAUAACCGCCCAAUACUUUUAUGAUCAUCCUUGGGAAAUUUCAAAUUCAUUGUAUCAACAUUACAUUGUCUUUUUUCUAUUUUUUAAUAUUAUCGAUAAACAUUCGAAAUUAGCACAAGAUGACAAAAAAUUUUUGCUUUGUCAUAUAUGUUUUAAUAAUGCCCAAAAUUAGGCACUUGAUUCAGUUUUUCACAACAUCAUUUUUAGUUCUUUUCAUAAAAUCCCAACUAUAUUUGUUCAAACUUUUCGAUAAAUUCAAGUGUAAUGUGUCUAAAUUCUACGUUCACCAAGCAAGUAAUAUCUUUAUUUGAAAUUACUUGUAAUCAUUAAUUGAAAAUAAUGCUUUAAAACAAAGUAGUAGGAAAAACUAAGAUAUGAAAGUACAAACAAUACAGAUAAAGUUUGAUAUAAAGCGGGAUUUCUUCAAAUUUCCCUAAUCAUUAUGGAGGUAUAUCUUUAUAUGGAAAAUAACCAUUUUCUUCUCUAUAAUUUGAAUGUAAAUUCACUUAUAAAAACUGAAACACAUUAUAAUGUUUCAAAUACGGGGUAGCGCGAAAAACAAAUUUGGUGUAAUCUUAGUGGUAAGUAAUCAACUAAAACGAGCUUCACGAAAAAUUCCCGUUUAUGAAUUUUCCGAAAAUUGUUACAGAUAGUUUCCAAUAUACGUGUCGACCCAAUAAAUGUCUUUCAGACAAUUUUACCAUAUUUUCGUAAAUUUUUGAAAGAAAAAUGAUGCAAAAACUUUUUUUUGUAAUACUAAGAUUGCAACGAGGCCCACAUGAUAUUUUUGAAAAAUUUUCAAAUCACAGCAUAAACAUUAUACUGUAACUCUUUUACUAUUAUGUUUUGAAAUACAAUUGCUAAUCAUCCUGUAUAUACGGCAACACCAAUGUUACUUACUCUUCCUGCUCCUUCCUUCUCUCAAUUUUUUCAAAAAAUCACUCAAGAUGUAUAAUAAUAUGAAAUCCUAUUCACUGAUUAGUAAUUUCAGUCAAUAGGUAAUGUUCAAUAAAACAAUUGUUAUUCUAUAAGAAAUUUUUAUAGUGAAAUUAAUUUAUUUCAAAUAUUCAAGAUUCCUAUUUAUAAUCUCUACACCAAAUUAAAUUGUUAUAUAUUAUCAAGGCAAUAUAAAAAUUUGAGAUACCCAUCCCAUCAACAGUUAGUUUCGUAGUUUUCAUUGAAAUGAUUUCAUUUAUGUUACUGAUUAGGUGUAUAUUGAGAAUGCUUAUUAUUUUCUAAUGAUUAUGAUGUUUAUAUUGUAUCCAGGAUUUUCUUAUUGUAAUAACCAAGCAUGAUAAGCAUUUUUGUCUUCAGAUUAGUGUUUCCUCCCUCGUUUACUUGUUGUUUGAUAUCCAACUUUCUAUCCUCACCUUGUUUCUUUUCGUUCAGUUUGGCUGAAAUUCUCUUGACUUUAAUUUUAUUAUCAGUGUUAUUAAAUCAGCUAUACUUCCUACAGUAUAAUCCAACACAAAAUAUGUAAUUAUUUUGAGUUUACACAAGAGAAAAUAUAAACAGAGAGAGGUUAACUUUUUGAACUAUAUUCUUUUUUCUUCAUUAUUAAAUUCUUCUUUUUCAAUCGGAUAUAUAGUCUUCUUUUUUAAAUAAAAUAAUGGUUAAUAAUAAUGUCAAAUAUUAAUUAACCUCAAUGGAAUAAUAAACUAAAUAUAAAUGAAAUUAUUUCCAAUAUUAAGAUUUGCAAGUGAGAAUUCAAUAUUUUGGAGUCAUCUCCAUUAAAUAUGUUUAAUUUUCGAAUAGAACAAGAUUAUAUUAAGGUUAGGUUCAUUUUUGGAAUUAGGGUUUGUUAUUGGGCUAUAAGAAUAACUCUGUUCUAUUUAUGACUUAUAACUAUAAUUUUAAUUCUUGUAUUAUUCAUCAUUAACACUAAAUUCGUAGUAGUAAACAUAAUUUGAUUAUAUUUUCAUGAUAUUUUAACGGGAAGGAAAAGCAAUGCUGAAAAUCAGACUAAGAUAUUUUUUAUAUGGGAAAUUUGAAGGUUUGCACUCAAAACGUGUCUACAAAUUUGUCAUUAUUAUUUGAUAGAAUGUAUAAUAAAAAACGUUGAUGGGGUCAGUUGCAAGUUAAACAUUAAAUUUACCAGGUUAAAGUUUAUUCUGGAACAGCACAUCUAAAGGACCUAGAGCAACUGUUUCAGGCAAAUUAAAGUUAUUAAUCAAGUUAUGGAAGACACUUCAAUGUUACCAUCGAUGAACAUGAAGUCUGAGAAGUCUCGGCUGGAUCCAUCUUGAAAACAAAUAUGAAACUUGAGCUGACAACUCUUAAAUUGAAAAAAGAUUUAAAGAGUACCUGAUGCCUCCAAUGUAAAAGCAGCAUAUGUUUCCAUAUGAAAGUGUUAUCAAAUAUAAGGAUGGAAAGUGUCAAUUCUAUUACUAUUCAAUCCUGAUGUUUCUUUUGUUGAAAAAAUAAAUAAAGUAUUAAAAAUGAGUACACCAAACCAAGUGACAUUUAUAUUAGUUGUAAUAUCAUUUUAAUAUGGAAUAAAAGUUCCAAAACUGUAGCAUCUUAUUGGUAGUUUUACAUAAAUGAAAGUAAGUGUGUUAAUAAUUCGAAAAUUAUACCAAUAGUUUAAUCAACUAUUAAAUUAUCAGGAGAUAAAGCAUGGUGGAAUGUGAGUAUGGAUUAGAUUUUCCGAUUCAUUUAGUAUCAAACUGAAAACAAAAUUUCAAAAUGCAAGAUGCAGUUUGUGCAAUUUAUGGGAGUUACAUCUUCGUGCAUUGCUUACUUGUGAUGGACUGUUAUGGAUUUCACUUGAAUAGAAUUUUUUUGCAAAACUAUAAAUGAUUGGUAUUUUUUUGGAUUAUAUUGUAAAAUACAAAUAAUUGAGAAAAACCCUGUAUAUCAUAAUUAAUAAAAAUAAUUUCAGAAAUAAUAUAAUGUGAGCCUCUGUUAAAUAACAAAAAUUCUUUCAUCUUUUAGUUGUAAACAACUUAUAAUAAAAUCAGGUAUUGAAACAAAAAAGGAAUUUUUUGUAUAAUUGGAAAUUAUAUUUCAGGUGUGAAAAGAGAUGAAAGGCAGUAAUCCUCGGAGAUUGCUCUGUUUCUCAAUUUCCACGCUUGUGCCUAAAUCAAACGGCAAAACGUCGGAGCAAACGGUGGAAAUGAGUUGUUGAAGUGUCGAAAUUUGCUUAGGGGUAUCGUAAGAUACCAAAAUUUCAUUCCCUAUGACUAUUCGAAAUAUAGGUUUUCAUUGAAACAGAAAUGGAACUUACAUUGUGGAUGUACCUCGUAUGAAGGAAAUUCUAAAAUCAGUUAUUCAAAUUUUUCUAAAAUUUUCGGUCCGAAUUAUUGCAUAAAAUUUUGAUUGAAAUGAUAUUUUUUGAUAUUUAAUGAGUGAGCAGACCUUUGAUCAGUUGCUGUUGGUUUUUGUACUUUUGGGAAUUCUAGGAAUAUUUUAUUGAGAUUAAUAUAGUUACAGAUAUUAAUUAAUGAAGAAAAAUAGUUUGAAUUAAUUUUUGAAUAACUUUUUUAACAUUCAGAAAGUUUUAACAAACAUCCAAUUAAACUUACAAAACAAUGUUUUCGAAAUCUUUAGGGAUCUUUUGAAGUAUAAAGUUAAAUUUGAAUAUUUUAUUUUUUGUUAAUCUCGAUAGAAUUGAUUAUGUUGUGAUUAGAAUUUUGUGUAAAAAGUAGGGAAAUGAAAUGAAAUAUGAAAUCGAAAUGAAACAGUGUGAAAAAAUUAUAUCUUAAGAAAGAUUAUUCGAAAUCAAUCUAUAACUUUAAAAAAGGAAUCAUUUGAAAACAAUUAGAAAACAAAAGUAAAACAAAAAGUAUAUAAAAGUAUCUAAUUCUGAAUUUACAACUUUUAAUGGUUUACUAUGGAGUCUGGUAUGUUUAUUUUAGAUAUAUUUUAGGGACCAUCAUUACACCCUUUUUUUUGUUAAAAGUAUCCUUCAUUUAUUUUUCUACAUUGGUUAUCGAGAAUUUACAAGAGGUAUAAUAUAUUUGAAAAACAACACGCGCCUGCAGUUUUGGAACCCUUUUUAACAGUUUGUAGGUAGAAUAGUUUGUUUAUAUUAUAUGGAGGGUUUAAUACAGAUAAAGAAAAA